CGAACGGGUGAGUAAUGCAUCGGAACGUACCGAGUAAUGGGGGAUAACUAAUCGAAAGAUUAGCUAAUACCGCAUACGAUCUAAGGAUGAAAGCAGGGGAUCUAUAAGACCUUGCGUUAUUCGAGCGGCCGAUGUCAGAUUAGCUAGUUGGUGGGGUAAAAGCCUACCAAGGCGACGAUCAGUAGCGGGUCUGAGAGGAUGAUCCGCCACAUUGGGACUGAGACACGGCCCAAACUCCUACGGGAGGCAGCAGUGGGGAAUUUUGGACAAUGGGGGCAACCCUGAUCCAGCCAUGCCGCGUGUCUGAAGAAGGCCUUCGGGUUGUAAAGGACUUUUGUCAGGGAAGAAAAGGUUAAUGACCAUACCAUUAGCUGAUGACGGUACCUGAAGAAUAAGCACCGGCUAACUACGUGCCAGCAGCCGCGGUAAUACGUAAGGUGCGAGCGUUAAUCGGAAUUACUGGGCGUAAAGCGAGCGCAGACCGUUAUUUAAGUCAGAUGUGAAAUCCCCGAGCUCAACUUGGGAAUUGCGUUUGAAACUGGGUAACUAGAGUAUGU
rnacentral:rRNA from 1 species